GCAGAGUCUGACAUUGCUUAGUGCAAAAAUUGUUAUUCCAAAAUUUCAUCUCACUCCAUCGGCCAUCGCCAAUCCUUGUGUCGCCGAUCUCAUUCAUUCUUUCUCCGAUUAGGUUUUCGGAAAGUCUCGCAGAAAUCACAAAUUCACAACUCGUCAGAUUUUGCUCCUACUUCAUCUAAAUCUCACAGUCUUGCUAGAAAGUAGGAAUCUUCUCCCCCUCUUUUCAAUUUCGAUUACUACGAUGAUUUUCUACAUCUGAGUGCACGUGAUGCUGGUUGGAGAGAACUGGAGUUUCUAAAUUUGAUUGCUUUUAUUCGUAUCAGGAAGUGGGUGUGAUGUUAGGAGUUUAGGAUUAGGAAGAUCGUGUCUUGAUCCGUUUUGAAGGUGAAGGGAUUUGAAUUCAUCGGAUUGGGUUUUUUAAGGUGACGGCGUCAUGUUCUAUGGUGCGGUUGUAUGGGACCCUUGGCUUAUUGUUGCUCAAAUUGUUUGCCUGCAAUGCUUAUACUACAUUACUCUUGGCUUCUUAUUGUUCAUUCUUGUUGGAACUCGCGAUUCUAGAAUGAGCCUCGUUUAUUUCUUUGAUUUUGUUACCAUCACUACUUCUACCAUCACCGGUUGGUGUGUCAUUGCAUCGUUUCUCCUCACCUCCUUUGCAGGGGCAGUGUAUAUGCUUUAUUUGAUUCAAAGAGCAAAGAAGUGCUUGGAUUUUUCAGCCACUCUCUACAUUGUUCAUCUUUUUAUAUGCAUUGUAUACGGGGGUUGGCCAUCCUCAUUAACUUGGUGGGUUGUGAAUGUCACCGGAAUCGCUGUGAUGGCUCUGCUAGGUGAAUACCUGUGCAUAAGGCGAGAACUCCGGGAGAUACCAAUAACGCGAUAUCGUUCAAGUGUUUGAUUAGCUUAGGUAACUUGAAUGUUGAAGUCAAGAAAAAGUUGAAUUGUGGGAUGGUAACGGCGGUUGUUUCUAUACAUUGGAUGAUCCCCAAGACAGAGCCCACAGAGUGCUUAACGUUGGAUGUCAUUCAAGGAACUACAUUUUCCUUUGUAGUCUUUGCUAGUUGAAGUAGACUUAAUCAUAGAUAACUUGACGGGACAUGGACAGAAAAAAGGGAUAACUCGAGUGGACUAGGUGCACCAUUUUUCUGGAAAGUCGAGUUUGCUGCAUCCGCGUACGUAUCUGGUCAUUGUAACAGAAAAUGGGGCUUGGCCAUUUUAGUAGUUUGCUCUGAAGUGUCCUACGUCCUACUAUUUUGUAUGUCGUCGGGCCUCCUCUUGUAACCUUGACUAAUUAAAUGUUACUAUAAUAUCAUUAUCCGUAUUUCAUUAUGAUAACUACUUAUCAGGUCUGAUCACUCUUAUGACAUGAUAACACAUCAUUUUAUAUAAUGGGUAGCUUUAAGAUGAAUAUA